rnacentral:rRNA from 1 species
UACGUAGGGUCCGAGCGUUGUCCGGAAUUAUUGGGCGUAAAGAGCUCGUAGGCGGUCUGUCGCGUCGGUCGUGAAAACUUGGGGCUUAACCCUGAGCUUGCGGUCGAUACGGGCAUGACUGGAGUUCGGUAGGGGAGACUGGAAUUUACGGUGUAGCGGUGAAAUGCGUAGAUAUCGUAAGGAAGACCAGUGGCGAAGGCGGGUCUCUGGACAGUUCCUGACGCUGAGGCACGAAGGUCAGGGGAGCAAACGGG